UAUCAUGCAAGUCGAGCGAACAGACGAGGAGCUUGCUCCUCUGACGUUAGCGGCGGACGGGUGAGUAGCACGUGGAUAACCUACCUAUAAGACUGGGAUAGCUUCGGGAAACCGGAGCUAAUACCGGAUAAUAUAUUGAACCGCAUGGUCCAAUAGUGAAAGACGGUUUUGCUGUCACUUAUAGAUGGAUCCGCGCCGCAUUAGCUAGUUGGUAAGGUAACGGCUUACCAAGACAACGAUGCGUAGCCGACCUGAGAGGGUGAUCGGCCACACUGGAACUGAGACACGGUCCAGACUCCUACGGGAGGCAGCAGUAGGGAAUCUUCCGCAAUGGGCGAAAGCCUGACGGAGCAACGCCGCGUGAGUGAUGAAGGUCUUCGGAUCGUAAAACUCUGCUACUAGGGAAGAACAAAUGUGUAAGUAACUAUGCACGUCUUGACGGUACCUAAUCAGAAAGCCACGGCUAACUACGUGCCAGCAGCCGCGGUAAUACGUAGGUGGCAAGCGUUAUCCGGAAUUAUUGGGCGUAAAGCGCGCGUAGGUGGUUUUUUAAGUCUGAUAUGAAAGCCCACGGCUCAACCGUGGAGGGUCAUUGGAAACUGGAAAACUUGAGUGCAGAAGAGGAAAGUGGAAUUCCAUGUGUAGCGGUGAAAUGCGCAGAGAUAUGGAGGAACACCAGUGGCGAAAGCGACUUUCUGGUCUGUAACUGACGCUGAUGUGCGAAAGCGUGGAGAUCAAACAGGAUUAGAUACCCUGGUAGUCCACG
rnacentral:rRNA from 1 species